UUCCACCCCUGCCCCGGGCCCCGCGUCCAGGCUGCCCGUGCCUCAAGCAGUCCUAGCCUCUGGGGCACCCGGCUCCCGCCCGCACGGGCCGCAGGCUCUAGGGAACCUCCGCCAGCAGGUGGCGCCGGCAGGAGCCUCGCGCAGACCAGACGGGCAGAAGUAGGACGCAUCCGCGUCUCAGCGCGGAAAUGCGGCCGUGCCGGCGGGCUCCUAACCCCCCUUACUGUGCCGGGACCGAGCCCCGGAAUGAUCUACCAAGAUCACCAGACCGAAGAAAGCCACUCCCGAGAGAAGACAGAAAGGACAAGACCCCGCCCUUCCUUCCCGGAAGGAAACGGGAAGCGGAAGAUCAGGGACGGGAAUGUGGAGGGGCGCAAGGAGCCCCUUCUGCAGGGUCCGCCGAGGGCCCGGGUGUGUGUGCUGGAGAUCUGUGUGCACCUGGGGCAGGGUCCGCAUGAGCAGGUCUCCAGAGGCCUCUCUGGGGCCAGUGGCAGCUCUGAUGUCCAAGCGUAUACCCUCGAUGGUGCCUCUGAGUCACAGCUUCACUAAUUCUGUCCUGUUCUGGGAGCCACUGUAGAAGCCUCAAUCCUGAAUCUGAUUGUGUAAGCCCCCAAAUUCCUGGACUCAAUCCCUUUUGGCUUGAAGUACGUAGACUGGAGACUUUUUCCUUUACUGAAUCUUGACAUACAAGAUGCAAGUUGAGUUAAGAACAGUUAUGGUGUCAACUUCAUUCAACAGACAUUUAAUGAGUGCAAACUAUUUCACCUGGCACUGUACCCAGCACAGCGACCUCAUGCAAGCUGGUGCACCAUGUCCUGACAUGGUGGUGAAAGAGCCAUUGUGCCUUGGCCUUCUGGAUGACUCACUUGGGGAGAAGUCAUUGCUGUGCCAUGAGGACACACCAGCAGCCCUGGGGAGCUGAGGACUCCUGCCAAGCGCCAGCAUCAACUGCCAGCCACGUGAGUGAACCUCCUUGGAAGCAGGUCCUCCAGCCUCAGCCAAGCCUUCAGAUGAUAACAGCCCAGGCUGACAUCCAAUUACAGUCCCAUGAGAGACCCCAGGCCAGGAGAACCCAGCCAAGCCACUCCUGAAUUCCUGACCCCUAGAUAUUGUGAGAGGUUAAUGAAUUGAUAUGGUUGCUUUAAACUGCUAAGUUUUGAGACAAUAUGCAUUGCAGCAGAAAUAGCCAACAUAUAUCCCUAGCAAUAAUGUAGUUUCUAGAACACAGCAGGUGCUCAGGAAAUGUUUAAUGGAUGAAUGAAUGAAGCUUCUAGAAGAAAGGCUACAAGUCAGACAUGACUACUGAUGAGAAAGAGGGAACGGGUGACCAUGGCCAGGAGAGCUAACGUUCCAAACUUGGAAAGAUAAAGUGUAGCCCAGAAACUUGAGAAUUCAGGAAAUGUCAUUACACUUCAUUUUCUUCAAAUCUGCAUAAAUUGACCCCAAGUCAUUAUUACCCAAGAUCCCUCUCUAACCCACCUCAACGUCACCCAAGGAUCUGGGAAAAUGUCCGCUGCGGGAAAAGAGCCUCUCCUCUCCAAAUCUGUGAUGGCCAUUGAUGAUAGCUUCAAGGCUCACACACCAUGAUUCCUGAAAGCCAGGUUACACUACAGCCAUCAGGACUAUCUUGGGAGUCCCCGUGUCUACAAUACAGUCUCUUAGACCCCCAGAAAAGCCAUUCUCUUCUGAGGUCUCACACUCAUUCAGUCAUUCAACAAAUAUUUAUCAGGUGCUCUAUUAGUUAGGGUCCUCUAGAUAGACAGAACAAGUAGGAUAUGUGUAAGAGAGGGUGAGGAGAGAGGGACUGAUUUUAAGGAAUUGGCUUAUGUGUUUAGAGCUGGCAAGCCCAGAAUCUGCAGCACAGGCCAUCAGUCUGGAGACCCAGGGAAGGGCUGAUGGUGCAGCUCAAGCCCAAAGGCCAUCUGCCAGCAGAAUUUUCUUUCCUUCAGGAGAGGUCAAGUCUUUUUUCACUUAAAGCCUUCAACUGAUUAGAUGAGACCCAGCCACAUUACUGAGGGCAAUCUGCUUUACUCAAAUUCUACUGAUUUAAAUGAUAAUCUCAACUAAAAGGUACCUUCACAGUAACAUCCAGAUUCGUGUUUGGCCCUGCUCCCAGGCCCCAGCCCCUCCACCCCCUCCCCACCACGGCCAUCACUCCUCAGAAGUUCCCCUUCCACCUCCCCCAACCCAAUUCCUCCAAGGAGCCCAGACUUAGAAAACAAAAGCCAGAAGGAAGAGUGUUUGUGAGGAACUUCUCUUUUGGCGACACACAUCUCAUCUGCGUAAGCAAGAGAACACAGAAGACCUGGCUGCUUUCUUGGAAAAGGGUGCGGUGGGGAAAAUAUAAAUAGACCAAAAAUUAAUUUCUCAAAAAUUCAAACAGCCACAGAAAUAGCAGCUGCUCCCCACAUCCCACUCCCAGCCGGGCUCUUGAGGUAGGAUUGGGGGUGAGGAGAGGGAUGAAGGGAGAAGCAGCAGGAAAUCUCCAAUUCUUAGAACCCUCUGAUUCAGGAGAACUCACUAAUUUCCUGACAAAAACAAAAGAAAUUCUCCCCCCAAGCUGUCAGACUUCCUCUUCCCAAUACAUCCAACUUUCCGUGGGAAAGGCAAAAGGAAGUCUCUCUACUCACACCCGCUCAGAGACGGGAGCCCAGCACUCCCUCGAGAGAAAGCUACCACACCAAUCUGCAGCCAGAUCAUGGGAGCCACCCCAGAGAGAUCGGAGGCCGUGAUGGCUGCACCCAGAGAGGGGGAGACAGAAAGGGGCACUGGCCUCCUGUGACUGAGCUUCUGUGGACUUGAAGCAGGAAAGCUGGAGGGGGAAGAAGUAAGCCCACACCCAGUCCUCUCCUUAAGGACUGGGAGCUUAAACCAGACCUGCUGCAGGAGAGGGUGGGCAUGGCUCCAGGCCAGAGAGACAAGAAGAGACCUGCUUCUGACCCUCACCUUUCCCUCCCUCCCCCUCUCAUGCUCCACACACACAACACCCUCAGAGAAGAUGGUAUCUGUGAAAUUGAAAUCAAUUCAGCCCAACAAACCGGUGUGCAUUAAAUGUUCUUCUCCGUGAUAGAUGCUCUGCCACGUGCUGGGAAUGCCAAGAGAAAUAAAAUGCAGCCCUGCCCUCUGGAAGCUGAUUCAAGGUUACGGCAUGAUCUCUGGUAUACCACUCAUACGAAUAGUACAAUAAGGGCACAGAAGAGGAAAAGCUUAAUUCAGCCCAGUGGCUGGCGGGGAAGGAAGCUUUGUCAGAGAAAAGAGCCGGAACCUCAUCCCACAGGCAGUUUUUAAACUUCGGUGUUCUUAAACAGGAACAUGUGCCUGUGAACUCUUUGGGAAAGAUAACCCAGGUAUCAGCAGGGGAUGGGUUGGGGUGAGUUGGACACAGAUUGCUUGUGAAGAGAAAAUAUGAGCAACUGCAGGAGUCCAGGUCAGUGGUCCAGGUUUGACGUGUUGCCAGCCCCUUUGAAGGCAAGGGCAGUGAGGACAGGGAAGAGAGGGCAGAUCAGAGGGAGGUUUUAGGCAGAUACCAAGGCCUGGGGUACGGCUGGAUGGGGUGGAUGGUGGAUGCAGGGACAGAUCGCCCCCAGGUUUCUAACUUGGAGGAGAAAGGGUCCUAAUGCAAGCCCCAGGAAGGCAGGGCAGGGUCUGGCUCAUCCUAGCCUUAGUACAGUGACUGAUGCUUAGAAGGUAUGGGAUCACGCAUGUGGGCAGAAUGGGCAGAAGAAUAAACACACAGCGAUAGAAGAGGAAACGUGUGGUAAGCUCUCCCGGUGCCUUGCAGGAACAGCUGCAUUUCACCAAAGGGCACAUCACACGCAGCAUCCUGGAGGGAGAGGUUUCUUGCUGGGGGGACCUGGCACUUACUCCUGCUCUGUCUGGCUUUGAGGUUAAAUGAAAAGCUUGGACCCAGUGGUGAGUGAGAACCGCAAAUCCUAGAACGGAAUGGGAGCCAUUAGAAGGCAGCAGGCACAGCGACGGCAGUGGAACCAGCAAGAAGACAGUGAAAGGACUGAAAUCUAUUAACGGCAAGAAACCCAUCACUGGGUCUGAGGCCAGGAAAAGGGAUUUGCAGAGAAAAUUCUAUUUAGGGUGUAUUUCCCUCUUAUCGCAGUAAACGGGCUGCUAAAAUGUAUUGCUCUGUAUUAAAAACAUGCUGUCCUUUUAGAAUGUCACAGACACCGGUGCAUUCUAUCUGCUGUGUGUACAUAAAGAGAGAAACGGAUCCACGGCUCCCAUUCAUAAACGCAGGGCCUCACGUGUGCGCAUCAAGGUGGCAGCCGGGCCGCCUCCACAGCAGACACCUCUUCUCAAGGUAGGGCUGACACUCCACUUAGGGAUUACCCUGCAGCCUGUGCAUCUGCAUAAACUCCACCCCUUCCUUUUUAAAACAGUUUUUAUUUAUUUUAAAAUUGCUAUAUGGCAAAAUUAGCUUUUUUUCUGUUGGUCUAUAGCCCUACAGACCACGUGGAUUUCUCCCCGUGUGUAGAGUCAUGUGGCUACCACCCAAUCAGGACAUGUAAUAGUUCCAUUACCCAAAACACUCCUUCACACUGCCGCUUUACCCUCCAACGCUCACUCAAUCAUAGCCCCUACAACCACUGGCUGUUUUCUAUCACUAUAAUUUUGUCUUUUCUAAUAUAGCAAAUAAAUGGAACCUCAGAGUACACAACCUUUUGAGACUGGCUUCUUUCACUCAGCGCAGUGAGAUCUGCCCAAGCCAUUGCCUACCCAAGCCUCUCUUCGUAGCGCAUUCUUUUUUCCCUGGAGCUGUGUCCCAUGGCGUGGGUGGGCUACAGUUUGCACCGGUGCUCUUUGGGUCUACUUCGUAAAAGCUCAGCACCUUUCUCACAGGGCGGGCCAAGAAAGAAAGAAGGGAAGACACCGUGCGACCGUCCCUCUUCUUCAUUAUGUAAGAGUGGAUUGAGUGUCCUCCGUAUUUUCACUUUACGUGACUGGGAUGUGUGAGAACAAAGCAGGCUGCGGUUCUUGCCCGCAUGGGCUUCUGUUCUUGCGGGAGGAGACGGAGUUGGGGGUGGUGAAUGACGCACAGACUAAGUAAGUGGUGUGGUGUGUCCGGCGGCGGGGGCCUACGGGGAAAACAGAGAAGGGGAGAGGAGUCAGAAGUGUGUGCAGGAGGCUGUAGCUGUAAACGGAGGGGGCCGGAGUCAGAGAUGCCUCUUUGAGAAGGGGACCUUCGUGCAAAGACUUGAAGGGUGUCAGCCUCCCUGCACCCCGCGGAACGGAAGCCUGCCUGGCGGGGGAAGCACUGGAAGGGAAAGGCUGGACAGACUUGGCCAGAGAGAAGUCAACUAAAUAAGGUGCACUUGGGGGCAGAAGGUGUUUCUCCAAGCCCGGCGCUCGGCCACCCAGUGCUGCCCCGGUGCCUUCUGGCUGCGACAUCUCAGAGCACCCAGGACUACGGCCUCUGACUGCUCUCAGUAGCCAUGCCCGGGAGAGGUCCUGGAAGCCGGAUCAGGCAGAUGCACAGUGGACAGCCCGCCGCAAGCCUCCCCAGCCUCUGGGGAGCUGUGAUGCCCUCGCAGCCUCACCAGCCCAGGACUCCAGGCCCUGACUCAAUGACUUCAUUCUCCUCCUAGGUAAUUGGCAUUCUAGUCAAACUCUGCCAGCAGCAGCCUGAGCUGCUGAGGGGACCAUGGAGAAAAUACCAGGG